AACUCUGUUGCUCAGUUGGUUACAGGACUGCAUCGGAAUAGCAGGGUCUCAGGUUCGAGUCCUACCAGAGAGC